rnacentral:rRNA from 1 species
GCAGUCGAGGGGUAGAGGAAGCUUGCUUCCUUGAGACCGGCGCACGGGUGCGUAACGCGUAUGCAACCUACCUUUUACAGAGGGAUAGCCCAGAGAAAUUUGGAUUAAUACCUCAUGGUAUAUAUCAUUCGCAUGUUUGAUAUAUUAAAGUUUUAACGGUAAAAGAUGGGCAUGCGUCCUAUUAGCUAGAUGGUAAGGUAACGGCUUACCAUGGCAACGAUAGGUAGGGGUCCUGAGAGGGAGAUCCCCCACACUGGUACUGAGACACGGACCAGACUCCUACGGGAGGCAGCAGUGAGGAAUAUUGGACAAUGGGCGCAAGCCUGAUCCAGCCAUGCCGCGUGCAGGAAGAAGCAUCUAUGGUGUGUAAACUGCUUUUGUACGGGAAGAAACACUCCUUCGUGAAGGAGCUUGACGGUACCGUAAGAAUAAGGAUCGGCUAACUCCGUGCCAGCAGCCGCGGUAAUACGGAGGAUCCAAGCGUUAUCCGGAAUCAUUGGGUUUAAAGGGUCCGUAGGCGGUUUGGUAAGUCAGUGGUGAAAGCCCGCAGCUCAACUGUGGAACGGCCAUUGAUACUGCUAGACUUGAAUUACAAGGAAGUAACUAGAAUAUGUAGUGUAGCGGUGAAAUGCUUAGAUAUUACAUGGAAUACCAAUUGCGAAGGCAGGUUACUACUUGUGGAUUGACGCUGAUGGACGAAAGCGUGGGGAGCGAACAGGAUUAGAUACC